UACGUAGGGAGCAAGCGUUAUCCGGAUUCACUGGGUUUAAAGGGUGCGUAGGUGGGCUGGUAAGUCAGUGGUGAAAUCUCCAGGCUUAACUUGAAAACUGCCAUUGAUACUAUCAGUCUUGAAUACCGUGGAGGUCAGCGGAAUAUGUCAUGUAGCGGUGAAAUGCUUAGAUAUGACAUAGAACACCAAUUGCGAAGGCAGCUGGCUACACGAAUAUUGACACUGAUGCACGAAAGCGUGGGGAUCAAACAGG
rnacentral:rRNA from 1 species